GGUACAUGGUACAUUAUUCACAGGGCAUCUGGUUGAGAACAUCAUCGGGACUGGGAUCCUACAAUAUCAGGGCUCUACGGGUCACGGGGAACCUGGAGCCUAUCCCAGGGAGCAUGGGGCACAAGGGGCACACAUUCACACUCUACAGACAAUCUGGAAAUGCCAAUCAGCCUACAAUGCUUGUCUUUGGACUGGUGGAGGAAACUGGAGUACCCGGAGGAAACCCCUGAAGCACAGGGGAGAACAUGCAAACUCCACACACACAGGGCAAAAAAGUUGGGACGCUGUGUAAAAUAUAAAUAGAUUUAAAUAAAAACAGAAUGCAAUGAUCUCAUAAAUGCAAAUCUCAUAAACCAAUGUUAUUCACAAUAGAAACUAAAAGGCUGGAAUAUU